UUGGUUUAAACAUUGAUAUAACUACACAAAAAAGUGUUGAAAAUAUUGUAGAUAAAAAUGUCAUUUCCGACUUGAGAACUUAACAGGCCAUGUGCGACCAAUUUUAACAUCAUAUCCACUAACUAGAUUUGGUACACAAAAUCGCGCUUUGAAUCAUUAGCAUUACAAAACAUAUGGAUGGCUUGAAUAUAGUAUAUCAAAAGAUUCAAUUUUUUUGCUUUGUAGAAACUUUUGUACUAGAAAACGUGGCAAUUUUGAAGAUAGCUUUUUAGUUGGUUUUAGAAAUUGGAAAAAAUUAUGUGUUUGUUGAGUGUUUUUAGUGGAUCUAAAGGUGGGAAUAAAAGUAAACUCAAUACAUUUGAUGCAUAUGCCAAAAGUAAUUUACAUCUUACAUGUAUGGUUUAUGUAUUAAAUGGUCUGCAUAUCAGAAAACAAAAGAAACUGGUAGUGUUUAUUCUCAAAUAUCUUCUCAGCAUUCAUUGAUAGUUGAAAGUAAUAAAAAAUAUAUGAAAAUGUUAGUUGAUAUUGUUUUAUUUGUAAGUUGUCUAGGAAUUGGUUUAAGGA